UACGUAGGGGGCGAGCGUUGUCCGGAAUUAUUGGGCGUAAAGAGCUCGUAGGCGGUUCGUCGCGUCGGCUGUGAAAACCUGAGGCUCAACCUCAGGCCUGCAGUCGAUACGGGCGGACUUGAGUACUGCAGGGGAGACUGGAAUUCCUGGUGUAGCGGUGAAAUGCGCAGAUAUCAGGAGGAACACCGGUGGCGAAGGCGGGUCUCUGGGCAGUAACUGACGCUGAGGAGCGAAAGCGUGGGGAGCGAACAGG
rnacentral:rRNA from 1 species